ensembl:snRNA U6 U6 spliceosomal RNA
GUGCUCGCUUUGGCAGCACAUAUAGUAAAAUUGGAAUCAUACAGAGAAGACUAGCAUGGCGCCUGCAAAAGGAUGAUGGAAAGUGAUGGACUCUUAACUAUA